rnacentral:rRNA from 1 species
UGAGGAACAUUGGUCAAUGGGGGCAACCCUGAACCAGCCAAGUCGCGUGAAGGAUGAAGGUCUUAUGGAUUGUAAACUUCUUUUACACGGGAAUAAAGCGGGGGACGUGUCCCCCUUUGCAUGUACCGUGUGAAUAAGGAUCGGCUAACUCCGUGCCAGCAGCCGCGGUAAUACGGAGGAUCCGAGCGUUAUCCGGAUUUAUUGGGUUUAAAGGGUGCGCAGGCGGGAUGUUAAGUCGGCGGUGAAAUUUUGCAGCUCAACUGUAAAAGUGCCUUCGAUACUGGCCUCCUUGAGUGUGGAUGAAGUAGGCGGAAUUUGUGGUGUAGCGGUGAAAUGCUUAGAUAUCACGAGGAACUCCGAUUGCGCAGGCAGCUUACUAAGCCACAACUGACGCUCAUGCACGAAGGCGUGGGGAUCAAACA